UCGGCCGUUCAUUAUUUUUUUCUUCUCCCCCAGUUAUCAAGUUUGACCUCAAAUCAGGUAGGAGGACCCGCUGAACUUAAGCAUAUCAAUAAGCGGAGGAAAAGAAACCAACAGGGAUUGCCCCAGUAAUGGCGAAUGAAGCGGCAAGAGCCCAAAUUUGAAAUCGGGCAACCGAGUUGUAAUUUGGAGACGGGACACUAGAGAGGAGGAAGGCGAUUAAGUGCCUUGGAACAGGCUGCCGUAGAGGGUGAGAGCCCCGUGAAUCGCUGGAGACCGAUCAAUUAGUGCCCGCCGAAGAGUCGAGUUGUUUGGGAAUGCAGCUCUAAGUGGGUGGUAUAUUCCAUCUAAGGCUAAAUAUUAGCGAGAGACCGAUAGCAAACAAGUACAGUGAUGGAAAGAUGAAAAGAACUUUGGAAAGAGAGUGAAAUAGUACGUGAAAUUGUUGAAAGGGAAGGGUAUUUGAUCCGACAUGGUGUUUAGCAGCGGCCCGUUCCUCGUGGAUGGGUGCACCUGGUUUACACUGGGCCAGCAUCGGUUCUGGGAGCCAUAUACGGGGUUCGUGAAUGUGGCCCUUCGAUUCUGUCGGAGGGUGUUAUAGCGCGGACAUCUUGUGGCUAGCCGGGACCGGGGACUGCGGUGACUUGUCACCAAGGAUGCUGGCAGAACGAGCAAAUACCACCCGUCUUGAAACAUGGACCAAGGAGACUAACGUCUAUGCGAGUGUUUGGGUGGAUAAAA
rnacentral:rRNA from 1 species